UUUAUUGGAGAGUUUGAUCCUGGCUCAGGAUGAACGCUGGCGGCGUGCCUAAUACAUGCAAGUCGAGCGAAUGGAUUAAGAGCUUGCUCUUAUGAAGUUAGCGGCGGACGGGUGAGUAACACGUGGGUAACCUGCCCAUAAGACUGGGAUAACUCCGGGAAACCGGGGCUAAUACCGGAUAACAUUUUGCACUGCAUGGUGCGAAAUUGAAAGGCGGCUUCGGCU
rnacentral:rRNA from 1 species